UACAAUUUUGCUUGUCACAUGCGCCAAAUAUAAACAGGGGUAGACUUUACAGCAAAAUGCUUACUUACGGGCUAUAUAUAUAUAUAUAUAAAUAAAUAAAUAAAACGUAUUUUUGAUAGAAUAAACACCGGGCAAACUGACAUUAUUUGAUUAUUCUUUCUGAAAAUGUCAGCCUAUUUGUUGUAUUAGCCUCUUUACCAUUCUCCAUAAUGCUCUCUAUCAUUUCUUCACAGCCCUUAGACACAUCUCUAUUUCUGAUCUUCAAGACUCCCCCUCUUCUCUUUGGUUUUCCUUUUGUUCCAUGGUCUGAUCCCCAACUCGGCAAGCUGUCCCACAGAGAGGCUGGAGGGCGAGAAGAGGAAACACCAGGCACGCAACAAAAGUCCACCUGGCCGUGCUGCUGCUCCAGUUUCAACUGUUCUGCCUGCGGCUAUGGAACCCUGACCUGUUCACCGGACGUGCUUGUUGCACCCUCGACAACUACUAUGAUUAUUAUUAUUUGACCAUGCUGGUCAUUUAUGAACAUUUGAACAUUUUAACAUCUUGACCAUGUUCUGUAUAAUAUCCACCCUGCACAGCCAGAAGAGGACUGGCCACCCCUCAUAGCCUGGUUCCUCUCUAGGUUUCUUCCUAGGUUUUUUGGCCUUUCUAGGGAGUUUUUCCUAGGGAGUUUUUCCUAGCCACCGUGCUUCUUUCACAUGCUUUGCUUGCUGUUUGGGGUUUUAGGCUGGGUUUCUGUACAGCACUUUGAGAAUAUCAGCUGAUGUACGAAGGGCUAUAUAAAAAUACAUUUGUUUGAUUUGAUUUGAGGGACAUGAUUUUAGAAACUACACUGCUCAAAAAAAUAAAGGGAACACUAAAAUAACACAUCCUAGAUCUGAAUGAAUGAAAAAUCUUAUUAAAUUAUUUUUUCUUAACGUAGUUGAAUGUGCUGACAACAAAAUCACACAAAAAUAAUCAAUGGAAAUCCAAUUUAUCAACCCAUGGAGGUCUGGAUUUGGAGUCACACUCAAAAUUAAAGUGGAAAACCACACUACAG
rnacentral:lncRNA from 1 species